ACACGUAAGGGGCGAGCGUUGUUCGGAAUUAUUGGGCGUAAAGCGCGUGUAGGCGGUUUGUUAAGUCUGAUGUGAAAGCCCCGGGCUCAACCUGGGAAGUGCAUUAAGGAUACUGGCAGACUUGAAUACGGGAGAGGGCAGUGGAAUUCCUGGUGUAGGAGUGAAAUCCGUAGAUAUCAGGAGGAACACCGGUGGCGAAGGCGGCUGCCUGGACCGAUAUUGACGCUGAGACGCGAAAGCGUGGGUAGC
rnacentral:rRNA from 1 species